rnacentral:rRNA from 1 species
UACGUAGGUGGCAAGCGUUGUCCGGAUUUACUGGGCGUAAAGAGCGCGCAGGCGGUCGAUCAAGUCGCGUGUGAAAGCCCCCGGCUCAACUGGGGAGGGUCACGCGAUACUGAUCGACUCGAAGGCAGGAGAGGGUAGUGGAAUUCCCGGUGUAGUGGUGAAAUUCGUAGGUAUCAAGAGGAACAACAGAAGCGAAAGGCGGCUUACUGGAUCAUAACUGACGCUAG